rfam:Pteropus alecto contig86278, whole genome shotgun sequence.
AUCCUUUUGUAGUUCAUUAGCAUGAUGAUUGCAUGUUCAUGCUGUUGUGUGAGAUGUGCCUCCCUCAAACCUUGUUACGACAUCAGCACAUUACCCAUCUGACA